rnacentral:rRNA from 1 species
GACGAACGCUGGCGGCGUGCCUAAUACAUGCAAGUAGGACGCAGUUGCGAACGGGUGAGUAACGCGUAUGUAACUGCCUAUUAGUGGGUGAUAACUAUUGGAAACGAUAGCUAAUACCGCAUACUAGUAGAUGGACCUGCGUUGUAUUAGCUAGUAGGUAGGGUAAUGGCCGACCUAGGCGACGUUACAUAGGCGAACUGGGAGGGUGAUCGGCCAAAACGGGACUUGGACACGGGCCAGACUCCUACGGGGGGCAGCAGGAGGGAAUCUUUGGAAAUGGGGGGAACCCUGAACGAGCAAAGCCGCGUGAGUGAAGAAGGUCUUCGGAUCGUAAAGCUCUGUUGUUAAGGAAGCGGUACUUAACCAGAAAGGGACGGCUAACUACGUGCCAGCAGCCGCGGUAAUUC